UGGAGUAUUGACGUCACAUCUAAGGUGAGGGCACUUUAUAUAGAUACAUUUGGAAUCACUUCAGUAUGGAAAGGAAAUAUUCCACAAACGGUUCCAUGAUUCAGGGUUACACAUGCUGGUAACGGUACUUAUGUUAUGGCUUGCAAGUCAAAGCUUUUGUACUGUAUUUACAUUAUUUCAGUGGGAUCCCACACAUUAUAAAGUGCUGUUUGGUAUUGUGAAUGAACACCAUCACUGGUUCCUGGUUGUAAGUGUUGCUUUUUCAGCAACUGAGAGCACAUAUAGACAUGUUACAUAUAUAGUAUACCAUCCAGUAAAAGAUCCAGUGGUUGUUUUAAGUUUAUGUUCAGCUCUGAAAAUCCUUCAACUUACACCUUUAUGCCAAAAUAGCUAAAUGUGAGAAGAUGUCAUAUAGUAGAGUUUUUUAUUUUUAUUUUUGAAGACCAUACAGGCAAUAUAGCCAUCUGGAAAGAGGACACUCCUGUUGAAUUCACAAAGACAAACUGCUGCCAAGCUGAAAAGGUGCCAGGAACAAGGUGAGGAACGGCAGGAGAGAAUCUGAGAGGACGGAGCACAAACAAGUCAACACGCUGGGUAAGAAAACAAAUGUCUACCUCGAUGGACACACAGCAGCGUUAGUGUAAUUCAAUUCGGUCAAUUUGUAGUUUAAUUUGUAUUUGUGAAUUUUAUCAUUUAAUAAUUCUGUUGAGUAUUUGUCCAUUUUAUCUUAUCGAGCUAUUUUUAUUUACCUUUUUUUUUUUUAAAUACUUCCUGUGGACAUGAUCUUGCUGCACCUCGCCUCUACUGUACCUCCUGAGGGGCCAGAUGUGCAGGACAGACCAGAAGGCAAUUCAUGUGUAUUAUCUUGGAUGAUACCCAGACUCGUCUUCAGUCUGCCUUUGAUGCUUUCCAAUUAUCUCCUCUUAAUCACAGACUAGCUUUAAAUGCAGAAGAGACCAAGUACAUGGCGUUCUCCUCUUCCACCAGUGUCUCUAUCCUGCCGUUACAACUUUAGAUGGCAUGUAUAUUACUCUUGCUGAGUCAUACAAAUACUUAGGAAUUUGGCUUGACAGCAGACUAUCGUUCAAGAUUCAAAAAGAUUUAAAAAUCAAACUAGGCUUCUUGUAUAGAAUCAAAGAAUGUAUGUCUUCUAACUGUUAGACUAUUGUGCAGUCAACCUUCAUGUCUGUCCUUGACUAUGGAAAUAUUCUGUAUUGUCACGUUGCCCCAUCUGCACUUCAGCAGUUAAACCUUGUGUAUUAUAGUGCAUUAUGCUUUAUCGCAAAUGACAAAUUUUGUAUUCAUUAUUGUUCUCUGUAUCACAAGGUUGCUUGGACUUUCUUAUGGUAAAUGGUAAAUGGACUACAUUUAUACAGAGCCUAUUUAGUCAGUUCAAUUCAAUUCAUUUCAUUUCAAUUCAGUUCAAUUCAAUUCAAUAAGCUUUAUUAGCAUGACUGUCAGAUUAAGAAUACUGCUAAAGCGUCAAGGAUAAUACGGGGAUAAUAGGAUAAGCUUAUCAUUAAAUAAAAUAAAAUCAAUGAAUAAUUAAAAAGAACACGAAAAUGUGUGGGGGCAUGUGUGUAUGCAUGCUUCUUUGUGUGUGUUUGUGAAAGAUUGUUAGAUGAAUGAAGAUUGGGCCAAUCUAACUUUAUAAGUAGUCAUUAGACCACUGUGGUUGCAUGUGUGUGUGUGUGUGUGUGUGUGUGUGUGUGUCUGUUUCAGCGUCUCUGUCCUGAUGCCGUCAGCUCCACCUCCUCCAACCACUCAAAGCGCUU